GCUUGUCUCAAAGAUUAAGCCAUGCAAGUCUAAGUAUAAGCUUUUUAUACGGCAAAACUGCGAAUAGCUCAUUACAACAGUUGUAAUCUCCACGAUGAUAUUUACUAUAUGGAUAUCCAUGGUAAUUCUGGAGCUAAUACAUGCUAAAAAACCUGACUUUCGGGAAAGGUUGCAUUCAUUAGAAUUCAGACCCAACCACCUCACGGUGAAAUUGGUGAUCAUAAUGAAAGAGCGGAUCGCAUUCUUGCGACAUUUCGUUCGAGCUUCUGACCUAUCAGCUUCCGUCGGUAGGGUAUUGGCCUACCGAGGCUGUGACGGGUAACGGGGAAUUAGGGUUCGAUUCCGGAGAGGGAGCCUGAGAAACGGCUACCACAUCUAAGGAAGGCAGCAGG
rnacentral:rRNA from 1 species